rnacentral:lncRNA from 1 species
AAACGCGAGGAAGACAAUAGCGAGUCGGAUUCCGUUAGGAAUCGUCGGAAUCGGUGGGAUCGGCGCCGUGACUCGGUCGGGUCAAAACUUGAUCGGAGCUGCGAUUGGUGUGUACGCGAUAGGAGUUGCUACUUCCGUUUUUCUAAGCCUCACUGAUUAGAAGAAAAGAUUACGUUGUUGUUCUUGAUUUGCUGAAAUUAAUAAAUUUUAACAAUCUUGUUUAAACAUCAACCCUAUAUUUGAACAAUCAUAAACUUCAAACUCUUACAUGUGGUUUGAUUGCUAAACAUAAACAUAUCUGUUUAAUCCAAGAUAAAAGACAGAACUAGUGGAGCUUAAAAAAGAUCACGUGAAAAACGUCUUUACCUACAAAGCAAUAUAAUCCAGAUUUGCCCAAUCUAGUAGGGACUGUUCGUGCCUCCGAU